rnacentral:rRNA from 1 species
AUUGAACGCUGGCGGCAUGCCUUACACGUGCAAGUCGAACGGCAGCGGACCUUCGGGUGCCGGCGAGUGGCGAACGGGUGAGUAAUAUAUCGGAACGUACCUUUCAGUGGGGGAUAACGUAGCGAAAGUUACGCUAAUACCGCAUAUUCUGUGAGCAGGAAAGCAGGGGAUCGCAAGACCUUGCGCUGAUUGAGCGGCCGAUAUCAGAUUAGCUAGUUGGUGAGGUAAAGGCUCACCAAGGCGACGAUCUGUAGCGGGUCUGAGAGGAUGAUCCGCCACACUGGAACUGAGACACGGUCCAGACUCCUACGGGAGGCAGCAGUGGGGAAUUUUGGACAAUGGGCGCAAGCCUGAUCCAGCCAUGCCGCGUGAGUGAAGAAGGCCUCGGUUGU